rnacentral:rRNA from 1 species
UACGUAGGCAGCAAGCGUUGUUCGGAUUCAUUGGGCGUAAAGGGUGCGUAGGUGGCGCCGUAAGUCAGGUGUGAAAUUUCGGAGCUUAACUCCGAAACUGCAUUUGAUACUGCGGUGCUUGAGGACUGGAGAGGAGACUGGAAUUUACGGUGUAGCAGUGAAAUGCGUAGAGAUCGUAAGGAAGACCAGUGGCGAAGGCGGGUCUCUGGCUCGACCCUGACGCUGAGGCGCGAAAGCGUGGGGAGCGAACGGG